GCGCUACACUGAUGCAUUCAACAAGCCUAUCCCUAGCCGAAAGGCUCGGGUAAUCUUUGAAACUGCAUCGUGAUGGGGAUAGAUUAUUGCAAUUAUUAGUCUUCAACGAGGAAUGCCUAGUAAGCGCAAUUCAUCAGAUUGCGUUGAUUACGUCCCUGCCCUUUGUACACACCGCCCGUCGCUCCUACCGAUUGGGUGUGCUGGUGAAGUGUUCGGAUUGGCAAUUGAAGGUGGCAACACCGUCGAUUGCCGAGAAGUUCAUUAAACCCUCCCACCUAGAGGAAGGAGAAGUCGUAACAAGGUUUCCGUAGGUGAACCUGCGGAAGGAUCAUUGAAUAUGCAAACCACAACACGCACUCUUUUACUUGUGUACCGACGUUAGGUCGAACCCUCACCGGUUUGGCCUACUUACUACACACACACCAUUGACCAACCACUGAUCAAACCAAACUCUGAAGUUUCGGCUGCUGUUAAUCGGCAGUUUUAACGAAAACAACUCUCAACAACGGAUAUCUUGGCUCUCGCAACGAUGAAGAACGCAGCGAAAUGCGAUACGUAGUGUGAAUUGCAGAAUUCCGUGAACCAUCGAAUCUUUGAACGCAUAUUGCGCUCGACUCCUCGGAGAAGAGCAUGUCUGCCUCAGCGUCGGUUUACACCCUCACCCCUCUUCCUCUUCGGAGGGAGCUUGUCGUGCUUGCUCAAGCCGGCAUCAGGGGUGGAUCUGGCCCUCCCAAUCGGACUCACCUCUGGUUGGGUUGGCUGAAGCACAGAGGCUUAAACUGGGACCCGAUUCGGGCUCAACUGGAUAGGUAGCAACACCCUCUGUGGUGCCUACACGAAGUUGUGUCUGAGGACCUGGUUAGGAGCCAAGCAGGAAACGUGCCUUUGGCGCGUAUCUCUGUAUUCGACCUGAGCUCAGGCAAGGCUACCCGCUGAACUUAAGCAUAUCACUAAGCGGAGGAAAAGAAACUAACAAGGAUGCGCUUAGUAACGCGAGCGAACCGCGCAAAGCCCAACUUGAAAAUCUCCCUCGGAGAAUUGUAGUCUAUAGAAGUACCCUCUGCAACGGGCCGAGCUAAAGUCUCCUGGAAAGGGGCGUCAGAGAGGGUGAGAACCCCGUAAGCUUGUGCUUAGUUGCCUCACGAGGUGCUUUCGAAGAGUCGGGUUGCUUGGGAAUGCAGCCCAAAUUUGGUGGUAAAUCC
rnacentral:rRNA from 1 species